UUCGACAUAGCUGCAAAUACCAAGAACCCCAAGUAGAUUUUGCAGUGUAUAAGGGAGAGCUCAACCUUUUUAAAUUCACCGAGCAACGUUUCAGACUCAGGCUUCCACAGACCCACUGUCCAAAGCAACAUGAACCGUCUGUUUGGAGUGGACCUUCUGGUGGUUGCUGCAAUCGUAAUUGCUUUGAUCGUCAUGGUUCCGAAUGAAGCUUCUUGCCUCGCCGGCUCUAUUGGAGGAAUCAAAGCUCCGGAUAUGACGGGUAAGAAGUGAAUAAUAUCGCAUCCUGAAUCAAAAUAUUCCACCCCUCUCAUGCCCUACAUGACCUCUACGCCUGGAAUAAAAUGCCUC